rnacentral:rRNA from 1 species
CAAUAGCGUAUAUUAAAGUUGUUGCAGUUAAAAAGCUCGUAGUUGGAUUUCUGGUCGGAAGCUCCUGUCCUCUGAUGAGCGUACAAGUGCGUCCUACCAUCCUUCUGUUAACCUUUAAGGCUUUCGCGGCUUUCUAGGGGCUCAGAUAUUUUACCUUGAGAAAAUUAGAGUGUUUCAGGCAGGCUAGCGCCGGAAUACAUUAGCAUGGAAUAAUGGAAUAGGACUUUUGCCUCUUCUGUUGGUCACGAGGCUCGAGUAAUGAUUAAUAGGGAUAGUUGGGGGCAUUAGUACUUAACUGUCAGAGGUGAAAUUCUCGGAUUUGUUAAAGACUAACUUAUGCGAAAGCAUUUGCCAAGGAUGUUUUCAUUAA